rnacentral:rRNA from 1 species
AAACUCAAAUGGAAUUGACGGGGACCCGCACAAGCGGUGGAUGAUGUGGAUUAAUUCGAUGCAACGCGAAAAACCUUACCUACCCUUGACAUGCCUGGAACCCUGGAGAGAUCUAGGGGUGCCCGAAAGGGAGCCGGGACACAGGUGCUGCAUGGCUGUCGUCAGCUCGUGUCGUGAGAUGUUGGGUUAAGUCCCGCAACGAGCGCAACCCUUGUCACUAGUUGCUACGCGAGGGCACUCUAGUGAGACUGCCGGUGACAAACCGGAGGAAGGUGGGGAUGACGUCAAGUCCUCAUGGCCCUUAUGGGUAGGGCUUCACACGUCAUACAAUGGUCGGUACAGAGGGUUGCCAAGCCGCGAGGUGGAGCCAAUCCCAGAAAGCCGAUCGUAGUCCGGAUUGCAGUCUGCAACUCGACUGCAUGAAGUCGGAAUCGCUAGUAAUCGCGGAUCAGCAUGUCGCGGUGAAUACGUUCCCGGGUCUUGUACACACCGCCCGUCACACCAUGGGAGUGGGGUUCACCAGAAGUAGGUAGCCUAACCGCGAGGGGGGCGCUUACCACGGUGAGCUUCAUGACU